UGGAAGUAAAAAAGUCGUAACAAGGUCUCCGUUGGUGAACCAGCGGAGGGAUCAUUACCGAGUUUACAACUCCCAAACCCAAUGUGAACGUUACCAAACUGUUGCCUCGGCGGGAUCUCUGCCCCGGGUGCGUCGCAGCCCCGGACCAAGGCGCCCGCCGGAGGACCAACCAAAACUCUUAUUGUAUACCCCCUCGCGGGUUUUUUUAUAAUCUGAGCCUUCUCGGCGCCUCUCGUAGGCGUUUCGAAAAUGAAUCAAAACUUUCAACAACGGAUCUCUUGGUUCUGGCAUCGAUGAAGAACGCAGCGAAAUGCGAUAAGUAAUGUGAAUUGCAGAAUUCAGUGAAUCAUCGAAUCUUUGAACGCACAUUGCGCCCGCCAGUAUUCUGGCGGGCAUGCCUGUCCGAGCGUCAUUUCAACCCUCGAACCCCUCCGGGGGGUCGGCGUUGGGGAUCGGCCCUGCCUUGGCGGUGGCCGUCUCCGAAAUACAGUGGCGGUCUCGCCGCAGCCUCUCCUGCGCAGUAGUUUGCACACUCGCAUCGGGAGCGCGGCGCGUCCACAGCCGUUAAACACCCAACUUCUGAAAUGUGACCUCG
rnacentral:rRNA from 1 species